rnacentral:rRNA from 1 species
UAGGGAAUAUUGCUCAAUGGGCGAAAGCCUGAAGCAGCAACGCCGCGUGUGCGAUGAAGGUCUUCGGAUCGUAAAGCACUUUUCUGCGAGAUGAGAAAGGACAGUAUCGUAGGAAUAAGUCUCGGCUAACUACGUGCCAGCAGCCGCGGUAACACGUAGGAGGCGAGCGUUAUCCGGAUUCACUGGGCGUAAAGCGCGUGCAGGCGGUUUGGUAAGUUGGGCGUGAAAGCUCCCGGCUCAACUGGGAGAGGUCGUCCAAUACUACCAGACUUGAGAGCAGAAGAGGAAGAUGGAAUUCCCGGUGUAGUGGUGAAAUGCGUAGAUAUCGGGAGGAACACCAGUGGCGAAGGCGGUCUUCUGGUCUGUUUCUGACGCUCAGACGCGACAGCUAGGGUAGUAAACGGGAUUAGAGACCCCGGUAAUCCUAGCCGUAAACGAUGUGAACUUGGCGUUGGUGGCUUAAACACCAUCAGUGCCGAAGCAAACGCGAUAAGUUCACCGCCUGGGGACUACGGCCGCAAGGUUA